rnacentral:tRNA from 1 species
GUUUAUAUAGUUUAACAAAAACAAUGGUCUUGUAAAUCAUAAUUAGAUUUUUCUUAUAAACU